rnacentral:rRNA from 1 species
GACGAACGCUGGCGGCGUGCCUAAUACAUGCAAGUAGAACGCUGAAGGAGGAGCUUGCUCCUCUGGAUGAGUUGCGAACGGGUGAGUAACGCGUAGGUAACCUGCCUGGUAGCGGGGGAUAACUAUUGGAAACGAUAGCUAAUACCGCAUAAUAGCAGUUGUUGCAUGACAACUGUUUGAAAGGUGCAAUUGCACCACUACCAGAUGGACCUGCGUUGUAUUAGCUAGUUGGUGGGGUAACGGCUCACCAAGGCGACGAUACAUAGCCGACCUGAGAGGGUGAUCGGCCACACUGGGACUGAGACACGGCCCAGACUCCUACGGGAGGCAGCAGUAGGGAAUCUUCGGCAAUGGACGGAAGUCUGACCGAGCAACGCCGCGUGAGUGAAGAGGGUUUUCGGAUCGUAAAGCUCUGUUGUAAGAGAAGAACGAGUGUGAGAGUGGAAAGUUCACACUGUGACGGUAUCUUACCAGAAAGGGACGGCUAACUACGUG